GUGGAUUAGAUACCCUGGUAGUCCAUGCCGUAAACGAUGUCAACUAGUUGUUGGGAGACUUGAUCUCUUAGUGACGCAGCUAACGCAUUAAGUUGACCGCCUGGGGAGUACGGUCGCAAGACUAAAACUCAAAUGAAUUGACGGGGGCCCGCACAAGCGGUGGAGCAUGUGGUUUAAUUCGAUGCAACGCGAAGAACCUUACCUACUCUUGACAUCUAGCGAACCCUGUAGAGAUACGGGGGUGCCUUCGGGAAUGCUAAGACAGGUGCUGCACGGCGGUCGCCAGCU
rnacentral:rRNA from 1 species